rfam:Capsicum annuum cultivar Zunla-1 chromosome 12, whole genome shotgun sequence
UGAUGAUAGUGAGGGCAAUUUUUUAGCAUACCCUUAAAUCUCUCCCAAGCUUGGUAGAGGUUCUCUCCCCUUUUCUAUCUGAACCUCGGAAUAUCACUUCUCAGACA